AUAGCGCAAGAGCCUCUUAGGAGGUCGACGAGGAGAAGGGUUGUCGAAAUAUCAGCGGAUGCCCUUCCGGCUGUCCAGGUCGUCAUAAGAAGUACAAAGAUUUCUGGUAACAGAAAGGACAAAGAU
rnacentral:ncRNA from 1 species